CUACGGAGGGUGCAAGCGUUGUUCGGAAUCACUGGGCGUAAAGGGCGCGCAGGCGGUUUGGUAAGUCUGAUGUGAAAGCCCAUGGCUCAACCAUGGAAGUGCAUUUGAAACUGUCAGACUUGAGUACUAGAGGGGAAAGUGGAAUUCCCGGUGUAGAGGUGAAAUUCGUAGAUAUCGGGAGGAAUACCGGUGGCGAAGGCGACUUUCUGGCUAGAUACUGACGCUGAGGCGCGAAAGCGUGGGGAGCAAACAGGAUUAGAUACCCUAGUAGUCC
rnacentral:rRNA from 1 species